UACGUAGGGGGCAAGCGUUGUCCGGAAUCAUUGGGCGUAAAGAGCGUGUAGGCGGCUCGGUAAGUCCGCUGUGAAAGUCCAGGGCUCAACCCUGGAAUGCCGGUGGAAACUGUCGAGCUCGAGUCCGGAAGAGGCGAGUGGAAUUCCUGGUGUAGCGGUGAAAUGCGCAGAUAUCAGGAGGAACACCAAUGGCGAAGGCAGCUCGCUGGGACGGUACUGACGCUGAGACGCGAAAGCAUGGGUAGCAAACAGG
rnacentral:rRNA from 1 species